rfam:Ictidomys tridecemlineatus contig062278, whole genome shotgun sequence.
GGAGUUGUGGCUCAGUGGUAGAGCACUCGCCUCAGCACCACAUAAAGUGAGAGACCCUGGUUUCGAUCCUCAACAGCACUU